rnacentral:tRNA from 1 species
GCGGCAGUGGCGGAAUUGGCAGACGCGCAAGAUUCAGGUUCUUGUGGGCGUACGCCCGUGGGGGUUCAAGUCCCUUCUGCCGCA